AACGAACGCUGGCGGCAUGCCUAACACAUGCAAGUCGAACGAGACCUUCGGGUCUAGUGGCGCACGGGUGCGUAAUGCGUGGGAACCUGCCCUUAGGUUCGGAAUAACUCCCCGAAAGGGGUGCUAAUACCGGAUAAUGUCUUCGGACCAAAGAUUUAUCGCCUUUGGAUGGGCCCGCGUUGGAUUAGCUAGUUGUUAGGGUAAAAGCCUACCAAGGCGACGAUCCAUAGCUGGUCUGAGAGGAUGAUCAGCCACACUGGGACUGAGACACGGCCCAGAAUACUACGGGAGGCAGCAGUGGGGAAUAUUGGACAAUGGGCGAAAGCCUGAUCCAGCAAUGACGCGUGAGUGAUGAAGGCCUUAGGGUUGUAAAGCUCUUUUACCCGGGAUGAUAAUGACAGUACCGGGAGAAUAAGCGCCGGCUAACUCCGUG
rnacentral:rRNA from 1 species